AUGUGCAGAAGAGGUAUGGAGGAAGAUCCCACAUGCACUGUGUGUGGACGGGAACCAGAAGAUGUUUUCCAUGCCCUAUUCCGAUGCCCACAUGCGCGUGAGCUCUGGGCAGCAAUGCGUCAAGAAUGGACCCUCCCAGCUGAAGGCGUUUUUGAGCCAACUGGGCCUGAAUGGAUAUUGCAAGCUCUACAUGCAAUGACGGAGCAGCAACGGGCUAUGGUUCUCAUGAUUCUUUGGCGUGUAUGGCAUUGCCACAAUGAAAUCACCCACCAAAAAAUCCCACCAACGGCUCAAGGCUCAAAAAACUUCCUGGCAAGUUGCCUCAACUCUCUCUUGCUUAUUCAGCAGCAUCCUAUUGUUGUUGUUCAAAAGGGAAAGCAAGUGGUGGAUUACGUCCAGAGCUGCACCACUACACGCCAUUCGUCUGAUGGCCGUCAAAAAGUGCGUCAGAAAUGGGAACCUCCAUCAGCGGACCGGGUCAAACUCAAUGUGGAUGGAUCGUUCAUUCCAGAUGGGUCAGCAGGAACGGGCAUGGCGCUUCGUGACAGUGUUGGAUCCUCGAUCUUCGUUGCAUGCAGGUACCUCUUUGGAUGCGCCGACGCUGUGGACGCAGAACUUGCUGCGAUGGAGGAGGGCCUGGCCCUUGCGCUCCAAUGGUCGCCACUUCCAUUGUCCGUGGAGACGGACUGUGCUGAAGCUGUUGCCCUGGUGCAAUCCUCCACCCCCAACAUGUCGCGCUAUGCGUCGCGUGUCCAGAAUAUUCGUGAACUUCUUCAGAAAAGAGAUGUCUCGAUCGUAAAAAUCAGUCGCGAGGCCAACUCUGUGAGCCAUGCAUGGCUUAGCACAGCUAGGUAG
rnacentral:rRNA from 1 species